CAUAGAGCCUCCCACUGCCACACCCUAGAGCCUUCUUUCUGCCAUGUCCUUCUCUCUUCCUAGGCAGCUAUUCCCAAGAGCACUAAUCAACAGACGGACGGCCGUGCUAAGAUGUCUACGCAUAGUCCUUGAGUCUGGGCCUCCGCUGAGGAAGAACAGCCUGAAGCCUAAAGUGGGAAAAGUUCUUUACCUCGUGGUCAAUGGGAAACAGAAAAAGAGGACAGGACUGGGGACCACUUGUAACCUUCCAAAGCAUAGCUCACAGUGACUCACUUCCUUUAACUGGCCCCCUUGUCCCAAAGCACCCAACCACAUCCCCAGAUAGCAGACACCAUCUGAGGACUAAGUGUUCAAAGCAAGAGCUUGUGGGUUGCAGUUCACUUUCAAUUCCUAAGGGGAGCAUUUUGGAUUUCAAUAUGCUCAACUUGGAUUAUUUGUAUUGGUUGGUGGGUGUUCUUUCUCUUUUUCUGGAUGAGCAUCUUUUGUUGUCGAUUCAAAUGCCAAUGUCUCUGUAACUCUCAGGAUCACCCACCUAAGAGUGCUGUCUUUUGACUUGUUGAUGAAUACCAAAGAUGCACAAAGUAAAUUCCAGCAGAAUAUGGAUGGAAAUGUCAA